rnacentral:rRNA from 1 species
AGCGAACGCUGGCGGCAGGCCUAACACAUGCAAGUCGAACGAACCUUUCGGGGUUAGUGGCGGACGGGUGAGUAACACGUGGGAACGUGCCUUUAGGUUCGGAAUAACUCAGCGAAACUUGUGCUAAUACCGAAUGUGCCCUUCGGGGGAAAGAUUAAUCGCCUUUGGAGCGGCCCGCGUCUGAUUAGCUAGUUGGUUGAGGUAAUGGCUCACCAAGGCGACGAUCAGUAGCUGGUCUGAGAGGAUGAUCAGCCACAUUGGGACUGAGACACGGCCCAAACUCCUACGGGAGGCAGCAGUGGGGAAUCUUGCGCAAUGGGCGAAAGCCUGACGCAGCCAUGCCGCGUGAAUGAUGAAGGUCUUAGGAUUGUAAAAUUCUUUCACCGGGGACGAUAAUGACGGUACCCGGAGAAGAAGCCCCGGCUAACUUCGU